rnacentral:rRNA from 1 species
GAUGAACGCUAGCGGCAGGCCUAAUACAUGCAAGUCGGACGGGAUUCGGGUGCUUGCACCUGAUGAGAGUGGCGCACGGGUGCGUAACACGUAUGUAACCUACCUUAGUCAGGGGGAUAGCCUCUCGAAAGAGAGAUUAAGACCGCAUCACAUCAUUGAAUGGCAUCGUUUGAUGAUCAAAUAUUUAUAGGACUAAGAUGGGCAUGCGCAACAUUAGCUAGUUGGUGUGGUAACGGCAUACCAAGGCUACGAUGUUUAGGGGAUCUGAGAGGAUGACCCCCCACACUGGUACUGAGACACGGAACAGACUCCUGCGGGAGGCAGCAGUAAGGAAUAUUGGUCAAUGGACGGAAGUCUGAACCAGCCAUGCCGCGUGCAGGAAGACGGCCCUAUGGGUUGUAAACUGCCUUUGCAGGGGAAUAAACCUCGGUACGUGUACCGAGUUGAAUGUACCUUGAGAAUAAGGAUCGGCUAACUCCGUGCCAGCCGCCGCAGUAACAC